rnacentral:rRNA from 1 species
UGGGGAAUUUUGGACAAUGGGGGAAACCCUGAUCCAGCCAUCCCGCGUGUGCGAUGAAGGCCUUCGGGUUGUAAAGCACUUUUGGCAGGAAAGAAACGUCAUGGGUUAAUACCCCGUGAAACUGACGGUACCUGCAGAAUAAGCACCGGCUAACUACGUGCCAGCAGCCGCGGUAAUACGUAGGGUGCAAGCGUUAAUCGGAAUUACUGGGCGUAAAGCGUGCGCAGGCGGUUCGGAAAGAAAGAUGUGAAAUCCCAGAGCUCAACUUUGGAACUGCAUUUUUAACUACCGGGCUAGAGUGUGUCAGAGGGAGGUGGAAUUCCGCGUGUAGCAGUGAAAUGCGUAGAUAUGCGGAGGAACACCGAUGGAGAAGGCAGCCUCCUGGGAUAACACUGACGCUCAUGAACGAAAGCGUGGGGAGCAAACAGG